rnacentral:rRNA from 1 species
AUUGAACGCUGGCGGCAUGCUUUACACAUGCAAGUCGAACGGCAGCGCGGGCUUCGGCCUGGCGGCGAGUGGCGAACGGGUGAGUAAUGCAUCGGAACGUGCCCAGUAGUGGGGGAUAGCCCGGCGAAAGCCGGAUUAAUACCGCAUACGACCUGAGGGUGAAAGCGGGGGACCGAAAGGCCUCGCGCUAUUGGAGCGGCCGAUGUCGGAUUAGCUAGUUGGUGGGGUAAAGGCUUACCAAGGCGACGAUCCGUAGCUGGUCUGAGAGGACGACCAGCCACACUGGGACUGAGACACGGCCCAGACUCCUACGGGAGGCAGCAGUGGGGAAUUUUGGACAAUGGGGGCAACCCUGAUCCAGCCAUGCCGCGUGCGAGAAGAAGGCCUUCGGGUUGUAAACCGCUUUUGUUCGGGAAGAAAUCCUCUGGGCUAAUACCCCGGGGGGAUGACGGUACCGGAAGAAUAGGCACCGGCUAACUACGUG